rnacentral:rRNA from 1 species
GUGAGGAAUAUUGCGCAAUGGACGAAAGUCUGACGCAGCCAUGCCGCGUGAAGGAUUGACGGCCCUAUGGGUUGUAAACUUCUUUUGUAUAGGAAUAAACCCUCGUUCGUGAACGAGGCUGAAGGUACUAUAAGAAUAAGCACCGGCUAACUCCGUGCCAGCAGCCGCGGUAAUACGGAGGGUGCAAGCGUUAUCCGGAUUUAUUGGGUUUAAAGGGUCCGUAGGCGGAUCGUUAAGUGAGUGGUGAAAUCCUACCGCUCAACGGUAGAACUGCCAUUGAUACUGGCGAUCUUGAGUAUGUAUGAAGUUGGCGGAAUGUGUGGUGUAGCGGUGAAAUGCUUAGAUAUCACACAGAACACCGAUUGCGAAGGCAGCUGACUAAUACACAACUGACGCUGAGGGACGAAAGUGUGGGGAUCAAACAGGAUUAGAAACCCGUGUAGUCC